rnacentral:rRNA from 1 species
GACAGAGGAUGCAAGCGUUAUCCGGAAUGAUUGGCGUAAAGCGUCUGUAGGUGGCUUUUUAAGUCCGCCGUCAAAUCCCAGGGCUCAACCCUGGACAGGCGGUGGAAACUACCAAGCUGGAGUACGGUAGGGGCAGAGGGAAUUUCCAGUGGAGCGGAGAAAUGUGUAGAUAUUGGAAAGACCACCGAUGGCGAAGGCACUCUCACUGGCCAUGACUGACACUGAGAGACGAAAGCUAGGGAGCAAAUG